AGAGUUUGAUCCUGGCUCAGAUUGAACGCUGGCGGCAUGCCUUACACAUGCAAGUCGAACGGCAGCACGGGAGCUUGCUCCUGGUGGCGAGUGGCGAACGGGUGAGUAAUAUAUCGGAACGUACCCUAGAGUGGGGGAUAACGCAGCGAAAGUUGCGCUAAUACCGCAUACGAUCUACGGAUGAAAGUGGGGGAUCGCAAGACCUCAUGCUCAUGGAGCGGCCGAUAUCUGAUUAGCUAGUUGGUAGGGUAAAAGCCUACCAAGGCUUCGAUCAGUAGCUGGUCUGAGAGGACGACCAGCCACACUGGAACUGAGACACGGUCCAGACUCCUACGGGAGGCAGCAGUGGGGAAUUUUGGACAAUGGGCACAAGCCUGAUCCAGCAAUGCCGCGUGAGUGAAGAAGGCCUUCGGGUUGUAAAGCUCUUUUGUCAGGGAAGAAACGGUGGACUCUAAUACAGAUCACUAAUGACGGUACCUGAAGAAUAAGCACCGGCUAACUACGUGCCAGCAGCCGCGGUAAUACGUAGGGUGCAAGCGUUAAUCGGAAUUACUGGGCGUAAAGCGUGCGCAGGCGGUUGUGCAAGACAGAUGUGAAAUCCCCGGGCUCAACCUGGGAAUUGCAUUUGUGACUGCACGGCUAGAGUGUGUCAGAGGGGGGUAGAAUUCCACGUGUAGCAGUGAAAUGCGUAGAGAUGUGGAGGAAUACCGAUGGCGAAGGCAGCCCCCUGGGAUAACACUGACGCUCAUGCACGAAAGCGUGGGGAGCAAACAGGAUUAGAUACCCUGGUAGUCCACGCCCUAAACGAUGUCUACUAGUUGUUGGGUCUUAAUUGACUUAGUAACGCAGCUAACGCGUGAAGUAGACCGCCUGGGGAGUACGGUCGCAAGAUUAAAACUCAAAGGAAUUGACGGGGACCCGCACAAGCGGUGGAUGAUGUGGAUUAAUUCGAUGCAACGCGAAAAACCUUACCUACCCUUGACAUGUACGGAAUCCCUGAGAGAUUAGGGAGUGCUCGAAAGAGAGCCGUAGCACAGGUGCUGCAUGGCUGUCGUCAGCUCGUGUCGUGAGAUGUUGGGUUAAGUCCCGCAACGAGCGCAACCCUUGUCAUUAGUUGCUACGAAAGGGCACUCUAAUGAGACUGCCGGUGACAAACCGGAGGAGGGUGGGGAUGACGUCAAGUCCUCAUGGCCCUUAUGGGUAGGGCUUCACACGUCAUACAAUGGUACAUACAGAGGGCCGCCAACCCGCGAGGGGGAGCUAAUCCCAGAAAGUGUAUCGUAGUCCGGAUUGUAGUCUGCAACUCGACUACAUGAAGUUGGAAUCGCUAGUAAUCGCGGAUCAGCAUGUCGCGGUGAAUACGUUCCCGGGUCUUGUACACACCGCCCGUCACACCAUGGGAGCGGGUUUCACCAGAAGUAGGUAGCCUAACCGUAAGGAGGGCGCUUACCACGGUGGGAUUCGUGACUGGGGUGAAGUCGUAACAAGGUA
rnacentral:rRNA from 1 species